CGCGGCCUAUCAGCUUGUUGGUGAGGUAAUGGCUCACCAAGGCUUCGACGGGUAGCCGGCCUGAGAGGGCGACCGGCCACACUGGGACUGAGAUACGGCCCAGACUCCUACGGGAGGCAGCAGUGGGGAAUAUUGCACAAUGGGCGAAAGCCUGAUGCAGCGACGCCGCGUGGGGGAUGAAGGCCCUAGGGUCGUAAACCCCUUUCAGUGGGGACGAAACUGACGGUACCCACAGAAGAAGGUCCGGCCAACUACGUGCCAGCAGCCGCGGUAAGGCGUAGGGACCGAGCGUUGUCCGGAUUUAUUGGGCGUAAAGAGCUCGUAGGCGGUUGCGUAAGUCGGAUGUGAAAACCUGAGGCUCAACCUCAAGACGCCAUCCGAUACUGCGCUGACUUGAAUCCAGUAGGGGAGUGUGGAAUUUGUUGUGUAGCGGUGAAAUG
rnacentral:rRNA from 1 species